CCACGAGAUCAUGACCUGAGCCGGAGUCGGACGCUUCACCGACUGAGCCACCCAGGCACCCCGGUCACUUCUCUUAAUUCGGGUUCUCUCCAAAAGCAGAAGCUAUGACAUGGGACGUGGUCUUGUGGGCCAAUGGUUUAUUUUUGGAGGUGACCUCAGAGAUGAGGAAUGGGGACCCUGGAAGGGGAAAACGGGGGAGCGGGGAGAUCUGAUGCCAGAGAGCGUCCUUGACUUGCCACUGCUGCCCGAGUACCCUAGGGAGCGGUGUGCGUCCUACCCCGGCAUCGUCCCCUGGUGCGCGGUAGCGAGGGGCACGCGCGCCCGCUGGUGCCCUUUCCUCGUCGUUCCAGGGCUGCCCGCAAAGUCCCUCCCUUUUCCAGGUUGCACAUGUGCCAGCACCUGGGCUCCAGCAGCCCCGCGAGCAGCGGCAACGGACAGCCCCGAAGAGACGACAGGGGGCGUGGCGGGCAGUGGAGGCCGGGGCUCUGUAGCCACGACGGCGGCCAAAACGGUGGACUCCCAGCCUACGAGACCAGGGCGUAAAAGGUAGCUGACUCCAUUCUAACAAUUUGAAAAUGCCUCAUUCGGGGGGCCCGGGGGGACAUACUAUCUGCAAACAGUGGUGAGUACACAGUUCGCUUCCUUUUCUUGUUGCUUUAGCCAGACUCCAAAAUAUCGAUGUUGAACCACAGAGCUCCGACUGACAGAAAUGCCUUUACGACAUACCAUUGAAGGAUGUAUCCUUGGGGUGCCUGGGUGGCUCAGUCGUGAGUUCGAGCCCCGUGUCGGGCUCUGUGCUGACAGCUCGGAGCCUGGAGCCUGCUUCGGAUUCUGGGUCUCCCCCUCUCUCUGCCCCUCUCCGGCUCAUGCUCUGUCUCUCUCUCUCUGUCAAAAAUAAAUAAACAUUAAAAAAUAUAUAUGAUGUAUCCUUUUGUCCUGUAAUGGGUAUCCUUCAUCAUAAAAGGAAAGUUUAGUCUAUUUAUACCUUAGAACUUGUAUUGAGAUUUGUCAUUGUUGUUGUUCCCUGAUAAAUGUAUAGCUUUUUCUCCUUUAAUUCUCUUAAUUUUAUGACUCAGAGUUGACGGAUUUCCCAUCGCUGAAUCGUUCUGCUUCUCGCUUCAUCGCUCACCCCUCUUCUCCCUGCUUCCUCCAGACACAACAAUCAUCCUCCCACUACUCCUUCAGCGUGCCAGUCUGCGUUUCAUCCCAGAAUCUUAUGUUUGCUGUUCCUUCCCCCCGGAAUGCUGUUCCCUCAGAUGUCUGCAUGGCCCACUCCCUCAUUUUACUUAGGUGUUUUGCUCAAAUGUCACUUACUUCUGGGAAUACACAGAACGCACAUUGGUACCAAUCAUAUUCAUUGGCACCAGCCCUCCGUACCUCGGAGUGUCACCUCAUUGGGAAACAGGGCCGUUGCAGGUGUAAUCGGCUGAGGUCCCGCUGGACCACGGACAGCCCCUAAUCCAAUAUAACCAGCGUCCUUCUGAAAGGGGCAACUUGGACACAGACGUGCACACAGGGAGAUGCCACCUGAAGAUGAGGUCAGAGGUCGGGCUGGUGUUCUAGAAGCCAAAGAGGCUUGUAAAUCGUCGGAAGCUAAGGAAGAGGGGCCUGGAACAGAUUCUCCACCUGCAGCCCACGGAAGGAACCACCCUGCCGACAACUUGAUCUGGGACUUCUGGCCUGGAGACUGGUGACACAGCAGGUUCCUGUCCAAAAGCCCCCAGGCCGUGGGGAACUACCGCAGUGCCACCUACCACAGAUCGUCACUUACUAUCCUGCCGCCCUGGUCCACUUGGGCUGAUAGAAUGGAUUACCGCAGAUUGGGGGACGUAGCGAACAUUUCUGACUCUGUUCUGAGGCUGGGAAGGCCAAGGCCAAGGCACUGGCGGAUUCAGUGAGAUUCCGUUUUCUGGUUCGCGGACAACUGUUAUUUCACUGUGUCCUCACGGUGGGGGGCAAGGGAGCUUUCUGGGGUCUCCGUCACCUUAUCACUCCCCGAAGGGCCCACCCAAUGCCAGACUUUGGGGGUUAGUUUUCCACAUACGAAUGGAGGGGCCCCCAUUACGUUCUUUGAAUUCCUUCGCUUAUUGUGUCCCUCCCACGACCUAGCCCCCCGACACCGCUCACUGCUAGCCCCCUGGCACAGAUACCAGUGCCUCCCAUGUGGUUGGCACAAUCCACGACUACGGUUCUGCCGGGACACAGGCUUUGGAAAUGAGUUUUUCCAGCACAACUGAAGAAUGAGGGAGCCAGGCCCGCAUAGCGUGAAUUUUGCAUUUUGUGCGAUUUUCUUUGCGAGGUAAACAUGGAAAACGGCACCGGCUGGACCGAGGUAUGUGGGAAUACACAGAACACACAGACGCUCCCCUC
rnacentral:lncRNA from 1 species